AUAGCAACAGCAGCGUAGCUGAACAUCUUACGGAUGGCCCAGGGCUCCAAAGGCUCGUUUCCUAAGUGAGAGAGAGCCUGGCUGAAGCUGUAUUACCAUUCAUUCUCCAGCCUCCGAAGUCUCAAAGCAUCACUUCCACCAUACUCUAACUGUCAAGACAAACACAAAGGCCCAGAAACUGCCAGACUGUCUUCUGAAGUGGCUAUAAUAUUUACACUCCCAUCAGCAGUGUAGAAGGGGUCUCACUAUGUUGUCUGGAGUGCUGUGGUGGAGUGGAGUGGCUAUUCACAGAGCCUGUUCUGCUGGGACACAGAAUCACUUGCUCCAUCUCAUACAUUGAUGAUGAUUAAUUUGUAUGUGUACCUUCCAAAAAAGAUGGUUGUGUUUGAAUGGAGGCCUUCUGGACAGGAAAAUAUGGAGAGUGCGUGCUUUGGAUUCAAGACUGGGAAUGAGGGGACCAGAAACCUAUUCUGUGGCUGUUUCUUGUUAGGACUUUCCUAAGCCUCUGGAAAAGACUAAUCUUUCCAAGUUCAUCUGAGGCUCCUCUUCUCCAUGACAACCUCAUCCAGGGAUUUCUUCCUGUCCUGGUGUUUU
rnacentral:lncRNA from 1 species